UCAAUAUUAAGUUCAACCCUGGAGGAACCGUGGUUUUCUCAAUGUCCUGCAAUAGCGUUGUGUGGUUGACUGUGUCAAAAUCUUUUGACAAGUCCAACGCUACGAGGAUCGUUCUCUCGCAGGGUGGUUUCUGGUUAGGACCACGAACUAUCUGAGCGUUUAUGACGCUAACUGCUGUGGUGGUGCUGUGCACUUUUCGGAAUCCAUGCUGGUGGUUGACUAGGCUCAGGUGGUGAGUGAAGGUCGGGAGUAGCAAGGCCUCAAGUGUCUUCACUACUGGGGAGACGAGAGUCAUCGGACGAUAAGAUUCCCCUUUGUUUACGGGCUUCCCAGGUUUCAGUAGUCGGACCACUCUUCCGACUUUCCACACAUCGGGUAUUUGAAGAGUGGUCAGGGAAGGGUUGAGCACCUUGGUGAGAUGGCUUACUCGCGUCGAGCCUAGAUGCUUUGGCAUUAGCAUGUUAAUUCCAUCUGGGCCAAUGGAUUUAGAAUAUUUUGAUAACAUUCUGAACCUCCUCAUCGGUACAAGUAAGUGGCGCGCGGUCGUUUGGCAUUUUGCGCAGCCUUCGGUUAACACAUCGCUUGGUUUUGUCUACCGAAGGGUGCAGUGUAAACUGCCGGCUAACAUAGUUCGCGCACUUCUUCGGGUCCGAAAAGGCAUGACCAUUGCAUUGAACUUCAACUCGGUCGUCUUGUCUCUUCCGGUUAGACAAAGCCUUGAUAGUAGCCCAAAGCUUACUCACAUCGGUGGAGAGCUUGCAGGACUUCAGGUGCUCUAUCCAUUACGUCCGCUUAUGACGGUUUACCAAUCGCCUAAUCUCCAAAUUGAACUCCCUUAUUCGGGUAUCCCCGGGAUGCAAUGAAUGGAGCCAUCUUUAGACCUUCUCAGGCCGUUAGACACACAGGGAGUGGACCACGAGUUACGUGGCCCCAUGUUGCCUACGCAAUACUGCGACACUAGCCUCUACGGCUGUGCAAUCUGCACAUAGUUCACGCGCUGCACCGCUACUCACCCAACAGAGGACCUCCACGGUCCCCAGGAGCUCAAACAGGCAACAAAGAUCCCACUCUGACUUGUCCCGCCCAACCUUCAUCCCGCUCCAAUCCUCGUGCGAGAAGCAAUCAGCAACUCCUGGUUCCUCGCACAGUCUGUUCCGUGUGUCAGCCCGUCACACGUCGGAACGUCACAUCAGUUAAGUGCAAUUCUGGUGUCACUUCCCGGCGUAUUCCGGUCUGCUCACCAGGUGAGUGGAUUGAGUCGUACGUUGUCCAAUACUGCAAGAGUCUGCCCUCGCAACACACAACAGUGGCGUCGCCAAUCAACACCAUAGUGCGACAACCGCCCCUGCGAGUUCUACAGCAGCAACAAACCCCACCUAUACGCCAUCCCUUCACCCACAGGAUCACCCACGGACACCCGCGACAAACCUGUUUACUUCAAUUCAACUGCAACGGACUCCAGAGCAAGAUCGAGGAGAUAGUUGCACUUAUGAAUCGGGAACGCGUAUCGAUAGCUGCGGUCCAAGAAACCAAACAAAACAGCCGCUCAGAUCUUCUGAGUUGUGCAGGUUUCAACAUAAUACGUAAAGAUCGCGAGCGAGAUAAUGGUGGUGGCCUAGCCUUCAUAUUGCGCAACACCGUGCAGUAUCGUCUAAUCAAUGAAGACAUCGACCGCAAGGGUACAACCCUAGAAUGUCGGGGUAUAGCUAUCCGGUCAGGCGAUGUCGAGCUCGAAAUAUUUAACAUAUACAUCCCCCCAGGUACAUGUUGCCUUACAGGAUAUCACCCGAAUAUAGGCGCGCCACUUCGUGGUGAAAACCGUUUGGUACUAGGCGACUUUAACGCGCACCACGAUCUUUGGCAUUCCUGCCUGUCAAAUGAUCGUAGGGGGAUGGAGCUGGCGGAACAGAUUGACGAUUCGACAUUCUGCACAAUGAAUGACGAAGCCCCCACCAGAGUUAUGGGCACCUGUAAUAGCUCGCCCGAUAUUACCACUGCUAGUGGUGGUCUGAUAAAUACCAUAACCUGGCGACCUAUGCUUACUCUCGCAUCAGACCAUCUGCCCAUAAUUAUCUCGAUCGAGAAACCUCCCGAUCUUGUUUCUGUGGACAACCGCACCUUCGUUAACUUAAACAAAGCUAACUGGGUCGGCUUCACAGAAUUUACUGAGAGCACCUUUAACGCCAUCCCUGAAUAAGGGAUCUCAAUUUGGAGUUUCGGGGAUUGGUAAACCAUCAUAAGCGGACGAAAUGGAUAGAGCACCUGAAGUCCUGCAACCUCUCCACCGAUGUGAGUAAGCUUUGGGCUUCUAUCAAGGCUAUGUCUAAUCCGAAGAGACAGGACGACCGAGUUGACGUUCAAUUUAAUAGUCAUCCCUCACCGACGGCUGCGCAAAAUGCCAAACGGGGGAUACGAUGGGGAGGUUGAGAAUGUCAUCAAAAAAUUUAAGUCUUCCAAAUCCAUUGGCCCUGAUGGAAUCAACAUUCUUAUGCUAAAGAACUAGGCUCGACGGGAGUAAGCUAUCUUACCAAGAUUCUCAAUCUUUCGCUGACCACUUUUCAAAUACCCGAUGUGUGGAAAGUCGGAAGAGUGGUCUGUCUACUGAAACCUGGGAAACCCGCCAACAAAGGAGAGUCCUAUCGUCCGAUAACUCUCCUCUCCCUAGUAGUGAAGACACUUGAGGCCUUGCUACUCCCGACCUUCACUCACCACCUGAGCUUAGCGAACCACCAGCAUGGAUUCCGAAAAGUGUUCAGCACCACCACAGCACUUGGCGUCAUAAACGCACAGAUAGUUCGUGGCCUUAGCCAGAAACCACCCUGUGAGAGAACGAUCCUCGUAGCGUUGGACAUUGUCAAAAGCUUUUGACACAGUCAGUCACAGAACGCUACUGCAGGACAUUGAGAAAACCACGCUUCCUUUAGGGUUAAAGAGGUGGACCAUGAACUACCUGAGCGGUCGACAAUCAUUCGUACUAUUACGAGAUGAAACAUCUAAACUGAGAAGAAUUAAACAGGUGGUUGCGCAGGGUGGUGUCCUCUCCCCGCUACUGUUUAACUUCUAUAUUUAGAAACUCCCACAGCCACCAGAGGGGGUUUCCACAAUUUCGUACGCUUAUGAUUGCACGAAAUUGACGUCGGGGAAGGGAAUCGAUGGUAUGUGUUCAAAAGUAAACAGCCAUCUCUCCGACCUUUCUUGUUUCCUCACUGCACGGAACCUAACACUUUCCCCAACAAUAUCCACAGCGAACAUAUUUACGAACUGGACGAAGGUGUAUAGACUUGAGCUUAGUAUUGCAGUCGGUGGCGUCAAAAUUCCGACUGUCAAUAAUCCUAAGGUUUUAGGCGUAACUUUUGAUAGUCUCCUUGAUUUUCCGUACCACCGCGAUUCUCGCCAAGGUACAGAGCCGCAACAAAAUCCUCAAGUCUCUAGCCGGCAGCACAUGCGGAAAAGACAAAAAAAACUUUGUUGGCAACAUACGAGGCAAUCGGCCGGCCGGUCCUCAAUUACGCAGCAUCAAUAUGGUCGCCUGGAUGCAGUGGUACGCAGAUGAGGGAACUCCAGACUUGCCAAAAUACUGCACUCCGGACCACGACGGGAUACCUCUUGAUGUGUUCCAUCGAACACCAUCCAUCGAAGAGGUCAUUCUUUAACUACGUCGACGACAUCGAACAGUACGCCGACCGGACUUCGGACGCAAAUAACUUCCUACAGGCACUCACCGCCAUUAACAGUGGAUAUAUUAACACCUUCACCGACUCCCUUCCAGUGAAUGACGUUCUUGGAGCCAAAUCAUCACCCAUUGCAGACGACGAGCUCGAGUUGCCGCGAGAAGCGCGAGUGACCCUAGCGCUUUCCUUGAAAUUUAUUUCCUGUUUCAUAAACCGUUUGAUUUUCAUGGAAUGAUCGUUUUUCACGGCCUUUAUUUCUAUAAUAAAGCAUCUGUCUUUGAUUUAAUUUCAAUUUUGCGGUUGUAUCAUUGUGCUUUAUUUUUCCGUUAUAGAAUGAAUAGUUUGAUUUUUGCUCGCCCUCUUUUUUCGGAAUUGGAGACUCUCCAAUCGGUACCCGUAUAGUGUAUCUAAGAAUCCAAGGGAUUGUACUUGCGGCUUAAUUUUGACAAUGAUUGGUACAAAUCGUUAAUUAUAAUUAAUUUUCUAUUAGACACUUUACUCAAAAUUAUAACUAUUAUAAUUUUUAUACGUUUGGAAUAUUUUGCUUAAGGGUAUAAUAGUUUUGUUCACUUAACGGUUGCAUGUAUCACCUAAAGUUAACCGAGAUACAUUUAGGGUUAUACAAAUAUAAGUGAACAAAAUGGCGAGACGAGUUCAAAUACGGGUGAUUGUCUGUCUGCCUCUCCGUCCGUCGGUUCUUGCAAGCUAUAACUUGAGCAAAAAUUGAGACAUCUUGAUGAAACGAGUUCGUAAAUAGGCGUAGUCGGACCACUGCCACGCCUACGAAACCCAGUUAACCGAAAACUUAUAAAAUACCAUAACUACAUAUAAACUAAAUUAAGAUAUAAAACUCUUAUUUGGCUUAAUGGAUCACGGUAGCAAGGAGAAUUUGUGGAUAAAAAAAUUUUAAAAUGUGGCCGUGGUCCCGUCCGCUUAUAAAUUUAAUGUACAUAUCUCCUAAGCUAGUGAAGCACAUUUGCUGAGCGCAAAUAUUAUAAGAACUGCUACCAACAGUGUGAAAAUAGAUGAAAUCGGAAGAUUAUCCCGCUCACUCCCUAUAUAACGGUACUGUCCAAACUAUUAAUAGCGCAAUAAAUCAAUAACUAAAUACGACAGAGACAUUAAGUUUUACUUCUGAGAUGGUUCGGAAGGGUUUUAUGGGAGCCUGUGUGGAAAUUGGACGAUGGACGAGGCACCGCCCACUUUUUGGUGAAAUCACCUUUCUCGGCACCCGACUUACCGAUUCCGACUGAAUUUGAUACCUGACAUUCUUUUCAUAUUCCUAUAUCAUAGUGAGAGAAUGGAGUCAUGUGUAGAAGUUCACGCAAGUGAAGAAAGUUCUCUGAUUGCCACUCACUUGGAAGCGGCCAGAAACUAUUUCACUACAUGUGCUUCAAACAGCUCACGACUUCUGGUCCUAGACCAAGUAUCUUCUGGGUAGCCAAAGAACAUCCGUUUAAAGGCGAGCUAAAGUGAGAAGGCGAAACAUUCCUUCCACAGGGUUGUGCUCUGGUUUUGGGACCGGCGACGUAAAAAACACUACCAAUGAAAACUAAUCGACAGACUCGGAUAAGAGACCCCUCUUUAGAUGACGACCAUGGCAAACGAAUUAAGGAUUACGAUUUGAAGACAUUCGCCUGGAAUGUACGGUUCCUUAAUUGGGUUCCGCUGCCCGGCUGGUUGAUGUCCUUGGUAGAGUGAAGGCUGACAUCACCACAGUCCAGAAAUGCGAUGGACGGGACAUGGACUGAGACGAGUAGGUUCUUGUGGCAUUUACUAAAGUGGCCGUAUAAAGGAGCGAAAAUUAGGUGUGAGGUUCGUAGGGGGAGAGAGAUUCCGUCGCUGAGUACUGUCAUUCACCCCAGUGGAUAACGUCUAGCCACAAUCCGAAUCAAACCGAAGUUCUUCAACAUAUCGCUGAUUUUCGCCCACACCCCGACGGAAGAGAAGGACGAUGUGACCAAAGAUGUCUUCAAUGAGGUCUUGGAGCGCACCUAUUAGAGCUGCCCCCACCACGAUGUCAAAAUCCUGCUUGGCAACUUUAACGCCAGGGCUGGAAAGGAAGGUAUCCUUGGCAACAUAGUCGGUAAAUUCAGCCUCCACGAGGAAACAUCCCCAAAUGGGUUGAGGCUGUUCGACUUCGCCGGGUCCCGAAAUAUGGUUGUCUGUAGUAAUAGAGAGUAACAGGUUUAGACAAGCUAUCUGGAUGUCUCCGAAUCGAAAAGCAACCAUCCAGACCGACCAUGUUGUGAUAGACGGAAGACACGUCUCCAGUGCUUAAUCUGUGCGUACGCUUCAAAGUCCAAGAUUCGCACCCGCCUUUGUGCAGCAAAAAACGCACGUCAACAAACAAAAGUAAGGUUCGACGUCGAGAAGCUGCCAUCACAACCGAUAGCCGAACGAUUUUCUACUCGGCUUGCACUCCUGCUCUUUGAGAACACUUAUCAACAGCUCGGUAUAAGGGAACUGUGGGACGGCAUUUCAAGCUCCUUACCUACAACUGCAACCGAAACCAUUGGUUUUCAGAAAAUGCAAGAGAACAGCUGAUACGACGAGGAGUGCCGUUUUGCAGCGGAGGGAAAGCAGACUGCUUACCUGGCAACUUUACAGUCAACAACAACCCGUGCGGGAUGGGAUAUAUACGAGAGUUGAAGAAGGAAGCGAGAUGCAUUUGCAGACAGAAAAAGAAAGUGACUGAAAUGCGUGAGAUCGAAGCUUGACAAGCUGGCCGACAGGAAUAAUGCUCGAAAACUUCUACGAAAAAAUGCGGCGGCUAACAGAAGGUUUCAAGACCAGAGCAUACUCUUGUAGAACCCAAUUAUGUGGUCUAGUCAUCGAUGCCCAGAGCAUACUUAAAUUAUAGAGAAAACACUUCUCUAGCCUGCUGAAUGGCAGUGAAAACAUAACGCCAGGAAAAUCGAACCCGAUUCCCCAAUCGAUGACGAUGGAGCAGAGGUUUCAUUGCCCGACCAUGAAAAAGUUCGAAUGGCAAUUACUCGUCUGAAAAAUAACAAAGCAGAGUGGGCCGAUGGAUUGCCAGCCGGGCGGCGAAGAACUGAUAAAUGAUGACGGCUGGUGGAGAAAAUAAUUCGAGCAGGUACAAUUCUCUAUAAGAGUGUACGGUUACUAGCGUAUGCCGAUGAUAUUGAUAUCAUUUGCCUCAACACUCGCGCCGUAGAUUUCUCCAGACUUUAUAAGGAAGGAAAGAAAAUGGGUCUGGCAGCGAAAGAUGGCAAAACUAAAUAUCUCCUGACAUCAAACAAACGGUCGUCGCACUCGGGACUAGGCUCCUGUCUUCGUCUAUCCUGGAAACAACAUUAACACCAACAAUAAUGUCAGCCUCGAAAUCUAACGCAAAAUAACUCUUGCUAACAGGUGCUGCUUUGGAUUAAGUAGGCAAUUGAGAAUCUAAGUCCUCUUUUGACGAACAAAAAUCAAACUCUAUAAGUCACUCCAUUGAAAAUUCCAGGUGGAGAAGGACCUGCCUUCGCUUGGAUUCUCCAAUUGGCGCCACGUUGCGAACAGAAGAAACGACUGGCGCGCUGUUGUUAACACGGCUAUAAUCGCGUAAGCGGUAUCUACACCAGCAAAGAAGAUAUCAUAGUACAAAAGUGGGCGAAAUCGGAACUAGGCGGGGUACUUCCCAUAGAGCAUAAUUUUCAAUUCUAUUUGAAUAUUUUACUUUCCAAUACAUAAAUCAAAAAGCAACUAAUAUAAUGGAAUACAUUUUUAUGACCAAUAUCGCCCGAAUCCAUCCAACACUGUUUUAGCCCCUAGCUACCAAAUAUGUGAAUAUACUUUUGACAGAAAUUGUCGGUCAAUUUGUCAGAUAUACAACUGAAAUUCAGAGCGUACCAUUUCCGGAUAAUAGUAAUUCUGUCUCUCGAGAAUGGGUUGAAUCAGGUCAAUACUUCCCUGAGCCCACAAUUACUUAAUUUCGAGGUUUCAGGACGCGUGAUCGAAAACAAAUGUUUAAUCACUAAUGGCGGCCAACGGGUGACACGUUUGCAGUGCAAAGCGGUGUUAGGGCGAUUGCCACGCCCCUGCUAGGACUAUUUAGGCCGCGUGAUCGAAGACAAAUGUUUAGGCACUAAUGACGGCCAAUGCAAAGCGGUUUUCGCGCGAUUGCCCUAGGGUGACACGUUUGCAACGCCAUGCCCCUUAGAGGGCCACUGCCACGCUCCUGGGAAGUGCUGCGUUAUCCAAGUCACCCGUUGAGACAAUAAUGGAGGCCAAAGGAUGACAAGUUUGCAGUGCAAAACUGUUUUUGAGCGAUUGUCGCGCCCCUAACCCAAAUUAAAUACUAUUUCUAUUUUUGAAUAUAAUAUAUAAUGCUAAGAUAGCGCUGAAAAUAAUAUCCGUAACUGAAAGUGCUAAAUUUUAAACGAAGCGGCUUGAUAGAGAACUUGAAAUGGAUGUUGAAUUCAGCUCUAGCUGUGAUCUGUUCGAUUGAUACAUUCGCGGUUUAUCCUCCAAGUUUUCCGACAUAGAAAAAUCAGUAAUUGGAAAAAUAAGGAAACAGCGGGAAACGCAACGAUACUCAUUGCAGCUGUGUGCAAAUUACAAUUUAUAAUUGGGAGUUUUUACCCAUGUGAUAUUUUAUCUCUAACUUAUUCACUCAGCGUGAUUCUUCAGAAAGAAUCGGUCGAUCUGUCAAAGGCAGCAGAUAUGUAACGUUUCGAAAUCGAAGACAAAAAGCUGAGGAACAUUCCGAGCCAUCCACAAAAAAAUGGCGGCAGACCAAAAAGUUGACAAAGAAAAACCGAGAAUCUGCGGUCGACAAAACGCGGAAAUUUCUGCGUGAGAACUGGCGAAGAAUACUAAAGGGUCUCAGUGUACAUUCCUCUGUUGAAUAAAAUCGACGAAGAUUUGAAGACGCGCUUUAUAAGAGAACUAUUGGAUGGAUGUGCUUUGAAAACGAAAGAAAUGGAAAAUCUUAUUGACUGCUUGAUAGAUAGAUUCAUAGGCCCUUUGGAUAAUGACAACGUCGUGCGGCGUUUAAAGUUUAUAGGUGAACUUGAUCACUGGCAGUGCCAUUUUGCGCAGAAGAAAAAGUCAAAAGACAAGAAGUUACCGACUACUGCAUUGGAAACGCUGAAGGACUGCGAUGUAGAAUUACGGUAUAUCCCACAAUUCAUAGCUUUCUUCGCAUAUUCUGCACACUUCCUGUGAUCGUACUAUUUUCUCAAAGGGUGUUAAUAUAAUAUUUUUGAAAUGUUUGCUACAUGAUAUAAAAAUAAAGUGCCAUGAUACACGUAUACAAGACGGUUUGUAUCAAUACAUACAUUA